AACGCUGGCGGCGUGCCUAACACAUGCAAGUCGAGCGGGGUCCAUCCGGUAGCAAUACUGGGGAAGACCUAGCGGCGAACGGGUGAGUAACACGUGAGAAACCUGCCCCGAAGUCUGGGAUAACCCGAGGAAACUCGAGCUAAUACCGGAUGCCUUCUUCUGAUCGCAUGGUCGGAUGAAGAAAGAUUUAUCGCUUCGGGAGGGUCUCGCGGCCUAUCAGCUAGUUGCGGGGUAACGGCCCACCAAGGCGUCGACGGGUAGCUGGUCUGAGAGGACGAUCAGCCACACUGGGACUGAGACACGGCCCAGACUCCUACGGGAGGCAGCAGUGGGGAAUAUUGCGCAAUGGGCGAAAGCCUGACGCAGCAACGCCGCGUGCGGGAUGAAGGCCUUCGGGUUGUAAACCGCUUUCAGUGGGGACGAAUUCAGACGGUACCCACAGAAGAAGCCCCGGCCAACUACGUG
rnacentral:rRNA from 1 species